rnacentral:SRP_RNA from 1 species
GCUGGGCAUGGUGGCUCACGCCUGUAAUCCCAGCACUUGGGAGGCCGAGGUGGGUGGAUCACCUGAGGUCAGGCGUUCGAGACCAGCCUGGCCAACAUGGUGAAACCCCAUCUCUA